rnacentral:lncRNA from 1 species
UGUUUUGACCACAUGGGAGAUUGGUAAGGACAAUACCUGGCCGUGGAGAGUUUAGGAAAAUGCUUGAGUUGUCAUAGAUUCCAUGGCCUUUUGUUUCUGAUGAAUUCACUACAGGGUGACGCCCUCCAGGUGAUCAAAGAGAGAAAACACUGGCCAGAGCUGAGUGGGGUGUGGUAGGAUGGGGUAUGGGGUAGGGUGGGGAAGAUCAUUCAAGCUAAAACUUAAGAGGUAGCGAAGCUGUAAGAAAGUUUCAUUAUCUAAUUACAUGUCAAGCUGCUGGUGAGAUUUCCUCACACAUAUUUUAUUUAAAUCUUUGUAUUUGCCCUGGUAUGAGAUGGAGCCAGAAGUGUGUCACUAGUUCAAUGAUCAAGCCCUACAUCAAGAUGGUUUCUAAGAUGGUUUAUUCUUGUACUGUUGUUUGGACAAAGGUUGAGACACAGUCAAGAGUUGCUUUUGAAAUGUUUCUUCUCCCAUGGGCUCAGCUGCGAUCUCUAACAACAGAAAAAGGACAUGCAAACUAAAGUUACAAGACUUCAUUAAAACAUUAUCCACAGCCUUAUGUUUCUAAAUGUAGCUAUGCUGGGCCAGAAGCCUGCACACCACCCAGUCCCAUGUGCACAACACCAGGCGGAAGAGUCUAAGGGCCUGGCCAGGUUCCUGAAUGGGAGAUGUCACAGCUGUGGGCUAGGGACAGCCCACACAUCACACACAUCAUAUGUGAGAUAUGAUGACAUAUGAUGUGGGAUAUAUGUGGGAUAUAUUGAGAUAUGAUGUGUUCAGGGGGACAAGCCUCUCACAUGCCAGAAGGUGGGGAGUGUUUGGGGAGUCUCCAGAGCAGGUGCCCUCUAAACUGGUAUAUGAUAGGGCUUUGAUGCCAAACAGCCCAGUUUAAAGCAACAAUUUCCAUCACCAAGAUCUGCCGUCAUCAAACCUGCUUCCCACUGAUGAAAUCACGCACCCAGCCCCGGUGCCCACAGCACCAAAGUACAAAUGGCUGACUGCUUAGGAUGUGGAUGAUGGCUGUGGACAAUGAUGGCUGGGCACUUCUUGUGGAUGAUGUGGAUGAUGGGUCUUUUGUGGAUAAUGGCUGGGCACUUCUCCCUGUGGAGUGUCUUGUUCUCUAUAUGCUCUCUCCUCACUCUCCUCUAUGGAAUCAACUUUUCUUUUGUCCUUUCAGAGCUCCACUCUGUACUAAGAGUAACUACUGGUUAACCAGAAUUCAUUUGCACCCCUUUCCAGGUAAUAUAGUUUCAUAUUAUUUGAGGGAGGGGCUUUAAGACUUUUUAUCAUGCAAAGUUGCAAACAUAUGCAAAAGUAGAAAGAAUAGUAUAAUGAACCCCAUGUCUGAAUCAGUAGCUUCAACAAUGAACACAUGGCCAACUUGUUUCAUCUGCUAUCACCCCACCUCAUGAUGAUUCCCAAUCCUAUCAUUUCAUCUAUAAAUAUUUUAGAAUGUAUCUCUAAAAGACAACUUUUAAAAAAAGGAUAACCAAAAUGCCAUUCACAUCUAAAACAUUAAUUCCUUAAUACCUUUAAAUAUUCAGCCAUCGUUGACAUUUCUCUGAGUGGCUUAUAUUUUUUUGUUUACUUGCAGUAGGUCUAUGCACUGUGAUUUAUUGAUAUGCAUUUUAAGCCUUUUUUUAAUCUGUAGCAGUGGGUCUCACACUUCAGCAUAUAUUGGAAUAAUCUGAAGGUUUGUUGGAAGACAAAAUAUAGGGUCAUUUAUAUUGUAGAAUUUUUCACAGUAUGAGUUUUUCUGAGUGCAUCUCUGUCUUCUCUAUUUCUUAUAAAUCUAGAGAGUUAGUCAGAUUCAAGUUAGAUUUAUUUAGGCAAGACUACUUUAUUGGUGGUGACAGAUGCUUCCAGUAGGAGGAGCAAAAUAUCUGGUUGCCUCUCUUUUCUGAUGUUAGCCCCCGCAGAUUGCACAGAUCCAUUACUUCUGUAGGGAUUGCAAUUAAUAUUCUAGUGCUAUUGAUUUUUUCUUUGUUUAUUAGCUGACAUACUUUAUAAAGAGAAACACACUCUCAUCAGUUAUUUGGUUACCCUGAGAUUUGGUUUGUAUAAGAAAAGUAGGAUUGAUUCUUGGCUUUCCUCCCUUUAUUUUUCAGUUUUCAAAAUGAGAUGGUUCACAGGCAUCUUUCCAACAUGCCCUGUGAGAGUUGUUUUCUUCUUUGAGUACAUUAUGAACUCAUGGUUGAAACAUAUCUGAUGUUAUCAUGUGUGUUAUCAUCUGUAUUAAUAGUAAUUACAGCUACUGUCUUUGUUUUUGCUC